UACUAGAGUAGCACUCGCAUAUCAAUAAGCGGAGGAAAAGAAACUAACAAGGAUUCCCUAGUAACGGCGAGUGAAGCGGGAAGAGCUCAAAUUUGAAAUCUUAAAGGGUUUCCCUUUACGAAUUGUAGUUUAAAGAAGUGUUUUCUGUUGAGGUUUUGGUAAAAGUUCUUUGGAAUAGGACAUCAUAGAGGGUGAGAAUCCCGUAUUUGACCUUUACUUUCAACUUUGUGAUACACUUUCAAAGAGUCGGAUUGUUUGGGAAUGCAGUCCAAAAUGGGUGGUAAAUUUCAUCUAAAGCUAAAUAUUGGCGAGAGACCGAUAGCGAACAAGUACCGUGAGGGAAAGAUGAAAAGAACUUUGAAAAGAGAGUUAAACAGUACGUGAAAUUGUCAAAAGGGAAGCGUUUGACACCAGUGUUGUUUUUCUGAAAAUCAAUUGAAGAACUGUUUAUGCUAAGUUGUUUAGACUUUAUCAGCUAUCUGUUUAGUUUUGAGCUUUUCUUUAAUGCACCUUUCAGUUAACAAGUCAACAUCAAUUUCUUUUGCUGUAAAAAAGCUUGAGGAAGGUGGCUUGAGAUUCGUCUUAAGUGUUUAUAGCCUCUUGCCUAGUGCAGUCGGAGAGAUUGAGGUCUGCAGCGUAGAUCCUUCGGGGCUAAAUGCAUUUGUGCUAAGUUAUAGCAUUUUAUAGACAACUUGUUGACUAUGAUUUGUCUUGUAGCUUACUCGCUUAUGUUAUUUUACCUACGCUUAGGAUGUUGAGCGCAUGUCUCUCUCU
rnacentral:rRNA from 1 species